rnacentral:lncRNA from 1 species
GCUGAUCGGGUGCGGGUGCGACUGCCUGUGUGCCUCCAUUGGCAUCUCUGCCUGUGGGCCCCAGGCCAGAACAGAGAAGAGAGUGGCCCAUUCGGUGUCCACCCGUCAGGCCACCCAGCAGCCAGGCACGCUCAUAAGCCCGCGUUACGGAUGGUGCGGCCGGGUGCACAGGCCCGAGGGAAGCACAGGCCUCGGCCUCCCAGCUCCCAACCCCUGCACCACCCACAGCCGGGAGUACCCCAUGGACAGCUGUGGCCGAGGAGAAGCCAGGGAUGAGGGGGAUGGGCCUCACCUCCCCACCAGCCUGGGAAGGGGGUAGGCCCCUGGCAAGUAGGAGUUCAUCUUGGCUCUUGCAGCCCCCAUGACCCUGUGGCGCUGGGGGGCGGCUAGCAUGAUGCUCCCCAUUUUUCAGGAGGGAAGCUGAGGCUCAGAGACAUCAUGAGGAUGCCAGCUCAAGGCCCAGCCAGGCCUUGGUCCUCAGCUGCUGUCAUCCAGUAGGCUCAAGCCCAGAGGCCUCCAGGGUGUCCAGCCUCCAGGGUGCCUCCUACGCAGCCUCCACGUCCCCAUCCACUGCAGCCCCUGACCAUCGGGCACACCGUGGGGCCUUCGCUGGCCGCCGGGCCUCAGGUUCUGCUGCACCAAGUGAUUUUUAAAGCCCCAUCUGCCUUUCUCCACUUAUAAAGAACUUGGGACAUUUCCUCGAGGUUGGGCAUUUUUCCAGAUGUGGUUUCAGUGUCUCGCUUGCUACCUGGUCCCCUGUGCUGGGCGGUCCGCUGUGACGCACCUGGCAGUCCUUGCUCUAGGAUGGAUUCGGGCCGGCCCUUGUUCUGAGAACAGAGAACGGCCCUUGUUCUGAGGAGGCUGGGGUCUGGAAUCUGCUUCCUGGUCCCCUGCUGUGUGCAGACAGCCACCGUCACCCAGGCCCAGGGGUGCCUGCAGGUGCUGGGCAUCUCACCCUGGCCCCCACAGGGGCUCCCCAUGCCCUGCACCCCUCGGUCUGUGCCGGGGACUUCCCUGCUCUGCUGUUGCAGGCCUCGUCCUUUGCCGAGGGGGUCUCUUUCCCACGUGUCCCUGAGACUCCUCAGCCAUCCCAGAGGCUCUCGGCCGUCUGAGCACCCCUGACCAUGAAGCCUUCCUGGCCCACUCUCUGUGUGUGAGGCAGAGCCCAUCCCUACCAUUCCGACCCACACCAGAGGCUCCGGAAGGUUUGCUGACUGACCUGUGACUGCAAGAAGCUGAAGGAAUGUGGGCGCAGACCCGGCAGGGGCUUUUCUUGGUGCAAAGUCAACUGGCUGUCCAUGCAAGCCUGCUGCUGUGGCCAGCCCUCCCGCCAGGCGCCUGGUACCCUCCCUGGACCCAGUUGCCAGGACAGUGAUCCCCAGCUGUGGCCAGGACUCUGCCCGGGGCCCUGUCUACUCAGUGUCUCCAGUGGUCCCCAUGCAGAAACUGCCCCCCUUGCUGCCCAUGAGGCAUGGGAUAGGGUCAGCAUCCGAGAGGCAGGCCCUGCUGUUCCCCUCUGCACAGAGGCUGGGGGAGUGAGUUGCCCGGGCAAGUCCCCGGGCAGGCACUGGGCCUCCUGAGCAGGUGAGCUGAGAAGGCCCCAGCUGGUGUAGGCCUCGAGAGCUGCAGGACUGGCCAUGGGGCAGACCUGGCAUUGUCAUUCUAGAGCUGGGCCUGGGGGGUGGCUGGUGCAGUGCAGAUCUCAGGUGGAGGCCACCUGCCCGUCCUUUCCACGUGGCUCAGGGCUCAGACCCACCUGCCUGUCCCUGGAAGCCCCUAGACUGCUCAGAGCACAGACCUCAGUGGGAAAGACAGUAGAUAGGCCUGGGUAUGGUCUCCCAGCCCUGAGAAGUGGGGAGCCCACUCAGACCUUUCCAGGACCCCAGGUCCCCUCAGCAGCCCACAGAGCGUGGGUGGAGCCUGGGCUGGGGUUGGGUCACUUGGGAGCCAAAGGCCCAUUUCUGCUGCUUCCAGGGAGUCCCAGGGAGACGGCAGAGGCAGUGCCUGGCUGGGGCCCUGGUUGGCGUGCCGUUUGAGGGGUGCAUGCACUGGGAAGUUGGCCAGGCCUGCCCAAAUCAGGGGGCUUCCAGGAGGAGAGACAUCAGGAGGAUGGGCACAGAGGCGGCUUAGCACCAGGGCUGGCACCUCCAGGUAGGGGCUGUGGGGGGCUGGACCAGACAGGGAGGCUGUCACGAUGCCUGGCUGUUGGAUGGGGGCACAGAGGCUCUGAGUGGGGUGGCAGAGCUUGGCCACCAGGUCCAUCUGCACCCCCCAUGCCCCCUCACUACCCCCAGACCCCCAUGAUCCCAAACUACUCAGUCCCAGGGACCCCUGCAGAGCCUGUGGUGGGGGUGAUCUUCCACCCUGCCUGGCCCCUGCCCACCUCACCUCAGAACUUUCUCCAAAAAGUAAGAGCCCCGGGGGACGAAACUUCGAGGCUCCACCCCUUGGGCUCUGGUACAAACCCCGAGCCUCCUCCGAGGGCUGAGUCACUGGGAAAGCCGGGAUGGGCUGGCCCCUCCCCCUCCCUCUCCUUCCUUCCUCCUUCCCCCUUUCUCGGUCUCCCUCUUUUUCUCUUUGCUUUACUUCUCUUUCUUGCCUCCCUCUCUCCCUCUCUUCUUUCGUUCCUUUCAUCUUCUUCCCUUCCUCCGUCUUUGCCUUUCUUCUUUUCUGAGGGUAAAAAUAGCUGGAAAAC